rnacentral:rRNA from 1 species
UCGUACGGAAUCGGGGCAACCCGGUUCAGUGGCGCACGGGUGAGUAACACGUAGGUAAUCUCCCCUCGAGUGGUGGAUAACCUUCCGAAAGGAGGGCUAAUACAGCAUGAGACCACGGCCUCGAAAGGGGCAGGGGUUAAAGCGGAGGACCGAAAGGCUUCGCGCUUGAGGAUGAGCCUGCGGCCCAUCAGGUAGUUGGUAGGGUAAUGGCCUACCAAGCCUAAGACGGGUAGCUGGUCUGAGAGGAUGGUCAGCCACACUGGAACUGAGACACGGUCCAGACUCCUACGGGAGGCAGCAGUGGGGAAUCUUGCGCAAUGGGCGAAAGCCUGACGCAGCGACGCCGCGUGGGUGAUGAAGGCCUUCGGGUUGUAAAGCCCUGUGGGGAGGGAAGAAUAAGCCGUGGCUAAUAUCCACGGUGAUGACGGUACCUCCUUAGCAAGCACCGGCUAACUCUGUGCCAGCAGCCGCGGUAAGACAGAGGGUGCAAACGUUGUUCGGAAUUACUGGGCGUAAAGCGCGUGCAGGCGGCUUCGUAAGUCAGGUGUGAAAGCCCUCGGCUCAACCGGGGAAGUGCACUUGAAACUACGAGGCUAGAGUCCCGGAGAGGAUGGUGGAAUUCUCGGUGUAGAGGUGAAAUUCGUAGAUAUCGAGAGGAACACCGGUGGCGAAGGCGGCCAUCUGGACGGUGACUGACGCUGAGACGCGAAAGCGUGGGGAGCAAACAGGAUUAGAUACCCUGGUAGUCCACGCCGUAAACUAUGGGUGCUAGGUGUCGCGGGCUUUGACCCCUGCGGUGCCGUAGCCAACGCAUUAAGCACCCCGCCUGG